rnacentral:rRNA from 1 species
ACUAAAUAGAUACCCGGGUAGUCCACGCCCUAAACGAUGACAACUGGCUAUAAGGAGUAUCGACCCCUCUUUGUGGCGAAAGCUAAACGCGUUAAGUUGUCCGCCUGGGUAGUACGGCCGCAAGGCUAAAACUCAAAGGAAUAGACGGGGACUUGCACAAGCGGUGGAUCAUGCGGCUCAAUUCGAUGACAAACGAAGAACCUCACCAGGGUUUGAAACCCAGACGAUCGCUCUAGGAAACUAGAGCUUCCGCAAGGCGGCUGGGCAGGUGAUGCAUGGUCGUCGUCAGUUCGUGGCUUGAGUUGUUCCC